GUAGCAGCCCACUCUCUCUGUCUCUCACUUUCAACUCUCAAGUCGUCUCUGUCUCUCACUCUCUCAGACUCAACUACUGGACUCUCACUCACAGCCCACUCUCUCUCUCUCACUCCCGUGGGUGUCGAGUCUGUCAAUCGUGACUCCAGCGAUCUACGACUGUGAUACUCUACAGUGGUGCGUCUCUCUCUCUCUCUCUCUCUCUCUCUCUCUCUCUCUCCCAAGUCUAUAUGCACUGAUUGUCGACUGUACAUGGGAUUUUGGAAAGUUUUUUUACUUUUUAUUUUUUGCGAUUUGGUGCAAUUUGUGGUGUUGCCUGUGAGGUCAAAGAAUGCCCGUGGACAACAGGGUUCAUAUCCCAUCAAGCUGUUCUACACCUCCAAUAUGCCCAUCAUUCCGCAGUCGGUACUUGUCCCCAAUCUUUACUUCAUUUCCCAGGACAGUUUUGGUCCGUUGAUUCUCGUUCGUCUGUUUUGAUCUGUAAGAUGGGAUCUGUACUUCUCAUACUCCUCGAAGCCGGUAAGAUGGAAUCUGUACUCCUCGUACCAAAGCCAGUAAGAUGGGACAAAGCCCUUCUCUUCUUACUCGAUGUGUGCAUAUGGGAUAGUGUACUCAGAAGGUGAAUAGUGGCACGAUGGCACGAUUAAGGGCAGACACGACACGAAUAGACAAAAAAAAAAGGCACGGCACGACCCGACCCGACAAAAAAAGCACGGCACGACACAACCUGACGAAAAAAGGCACAACACGAUAUGGCACGACAAAAAAAGGCACGGCACGACACAACCCGACAAAAAAGGCACGGCACGACACGACCCGACAAAAAAAAGCACGACACGAUGUGGCACGAUUAAUUAAUCGGGCACGGCACGACACGACACGAUUUUAUAAAGGCAUAGCCCGACACGGCCCGACAAAGCAAAAUGGUCCACCACGGCACGACACGACACGCCAUGGCACGAUGAAGUAAACAGGCACGGUACGGCACAACACGAAGCACGGGUUGGCACGAAAGAAAAUGGCACGGUACGGCACGACAGGCACGUUUGACACCCCUACCUACAUGGCAAUUAGAGUUAGCUCCCAACCGAUUAAUUGGAGGAGCCGAACGACCAAUUCAUCUAGUUACAUUUUCUGAAUCCUAAAUGGGCCUUUUUGAUCGUCUUUGAGCCUUAUGAACCCCUCCAAACCCUAAUUGAACCAUUAGGCCAUUAGAGAUAAUCAUUAUACCCCAUGAAUGGUCAUUCAAGCCCAUACCUAUCAUCUUUAUUCCUUUUAUCCAUUAGAUAAUAAAUGUUAGGGAAAAUAUUCUCCAUUGAAUAAUAGAUUUUAGGCAUGCCAAUGAAUGUAUAUAUAUGACAAGACUAGUCAUACCUUAGUAAUCAUCAUCUUGCUUCCAAAAGAAGCAAGACUAGCCAUGCCAUGCAUGCAAACCUAGUUUUUAGCCUUAAGUCUAUUAUUCUAGGGUUACUUUCCUAGAUGUAUAUAUAUAUAUAUAUAUAUAUGUUUGUACAUAGUACUAAAGGGGGGGAGAGAGAGAGAGAGAGGCCGAAAGAGAGAGAGAGAGAGAGAGGGAGAGAGUGUGGUGUGUGCAAGUGACUUUGUUCACUCCCACAAGCUACCAUUUUUAGCCUUAAGCCUAUUUGACAACUUGACAACCCAUUUCUAGCCUUCCAAAGUACAAUUUAGCCUUAUCAUUUUGUUCUUGCUUACAAGUUAGCCCAUCCUAGGACAUGACAUGACUAAAAACCCUUCAUAAUGGCUAGGUUAUGGCUUAAAGUAGAAAAGACAAGUGAAGGAAGGCUAUGAUUUUGGUUAAAGGCUUGAUUUGACCAAACAAUGGAACAAAUCCAUGGAGUAAAAGGAGAGAGAGAGGGCCGGCCAAAGGAGGAGACAGGGAGCCAAGUUUUUGCUAUAAAUAGCACCCCUCAUUCACCAUUCAACUCACACCUUCACCUAGCAACUUCUCUCUCUAAGAAAGUCUUGUAUUUUUGCUUUGUUCUAUCUUAUUCUUAGUGUUCUUGAAGUUCUUCCCAAGUUCUUCAAGAAACCCAUCCUAAAACACUUUUUCAAUCCAUAAAGUUAGUAGUCUAAGUCACAAUCUAGUUUCAAGAGAAACCUCUCUCUUUCGAAGAAUUUCGGAGCCGUUACGCCGCCGAUCUGCAAAACCGACGACCGAAUCUCAAAACUGACCAACCGCCAAGAAGUAAGGUAGAAACCCUGUCAAACGCCCCAAAUUUUGAGAACGUUAAAUGGACAAUUUCAUUUCAAAAAAAUGGAGUCUGGCACAAUAUUACAGCAUAAAUCUCAAACAAGUAUUCUUAUUCAACAAAAGGAGGGGUAAACUAGGAUUCCUAGCUACUGCUCCGCUAUUGCUCCGCUUCUUCCUCUAUUCUGGCCAGCUCCUCGGCUCCAAAAGUCUCCAAGGUGUAGAGUUCACCCUAUUCAUCUAUGAGAUCUGACACAUUAUACCGGCGUCGCCACCAAUAUAAUAUGUCAGGGUCACCAAAGGUAACACCGUGAGCUACGAAGGCUCAAUAGAAUCACCCAUACCCUCUAACCUUUAACUUACAAACAAUAGAUCAUAAAAUUUAACGAUUUCCACUUAGUAGUUCCAUAUCUAACAAAAUAGUUAACAAUGACACAUCCGCAUUCAUUAUCCAAGCUAUCAUUGGUGCCCAAGAUUUCUGAGUUUCUCCUACACGACAUCUCAUAAACCGUGUCUCCAUUUUCCACAAUUCAUUAACCAAAUCAUCAUUUCAAAAAUUCAUUUUUAACACAUCCAACCUCGGUCCUACCGUUCCGGUCUCCCGAGUAUCCUCACAAUGGUUUCGCCGCACCGGGUUCCCAUUGACACACUUUGCAUUGGCUCAUCUCCGCGAAUAACCAAGCCACACACCUUGAAAUGCCUCAAUUUUCCAAGGAAUUUCGGGCGCAUUAACCUCAAAAUACACUGAAUUUUACAAACUACUGGACCCCUAUUUGUUCUUAUACAAAAAUUACAAUUUUAAAAUAAUACAAAAAUCUAUGUACAUUUAUUUAACAGAAACAACUUCAGAGCGACUCUAGUUUUGACACGAAUUCCUAGCAACGUUGGCCCAGUCUUCGUUCUAGAGGUCCCACCUGUAUCAACUGCUUCACUGUAGAAUCCUGCACGCUCUGGCAAAUUGAUCGCCGAAACAAACGAUUUGCCAGGAUACAAACGUAUUCUGAGUGAUAAUUCACCAAGUCGAAAUCCUAAAAUCCAAUACCACAAUAUGCAG